GCGGCAGGCGGUACCGGACUGACCGGAGCGCAGCGGAGGGAGGGAGGAUAAGGAGCCUGCCGCGUGCCUGGA
rnacentral:sRNA from 1 species